rnacentral:rRNA from 1 species
AACGAACGCUGGCGGCAUGCCUAACACAUGCAAGUCGAACGAGACCUUCGGGUCUAGUGGCGCACGGGUGCGUAACGCGUCGGAACCUGCCUUUAGGUUCGGAAUAACUCAGAGAAAUUUGAGCUAAUACCGGACGAUGUCUUCGGACCAAAGAUUUAUCGCCUUUAGAUGGUCCCGCGUUGGAUUAGCUAGUUGGUUGGGUAAAGGCCUACCAAGGCGACGAUCCAUAGCUGGUCUGAGAGGAUGAUCAGCCACACUGGGACUGAGACACGGCCCAGACUCCUACGGGAGGCAGCAGUGGGGAAUAUUGGACAAUGGGCGAAAGCCUGAUCCAGCAAUGCCGCGUGAGUGAUGAAGGCCUUAGGGUUGUAAAGCUCUUUUACCCGAGAUGAUAAUGACAGUAUCGGGAGAAUAAGCUCCGGCUAACUCCGUG